rnacentral:rRNA from 1 species
AGAAUCAACGCUGGCGGCGUGCCUAACACAUGCAAGUCGCACGAGAAAGUGGAGCAAUCCACGAGUAAAGUGGCGCACGGGUGAGUAACACGUGAAUAAUCUACCUCCGAGUGGGGAAUAACUGAGAGAAAUCUUAGCUAAUACCGCAUAAUACCCACGGGUCAAAGCAGGCAAUGCGCUUGGAGAGGAGUUCGCGGCCGAUUAGCUAGUUGGCGGGGUAUGGCCACCAAGGCGAUGAUCGGUA